GCUCGUUUCAUGUGCCUGCCGUUGGCUAAAACAAAGCAUUAACAUUGGCCUGCAGUUGCCUCAAUUCAUUUCCAAAGAACAAUGACAGAGGAGGAACGGCCCCUACUCGAUGUUUAUUUCAUGAUGCACGGUGUGGGCGUUCAGAAGUAGGAAGCGCUUUGGCUUGGUUGAGAGAUCGCCUUGUGUUUGCGGACAAGUGUACAAGGAAUUCAGCAUCUUUCUGCUGCCACAGCUCAGGUCCCCCAUCAAGUGAGAUCCUGCUGAUGGACCCCACUGAGCAGAACCAUGCUGAGGAACUCUGGGGGCGUGGCCGCCACAACUGCGGUCUAAGCUCCGCGAACGGACUGAACUUUGAAUCAGAGAUCCGCCCCGCAGCAGACGAGCAGCC